rnacentral:tRNA from 1 species
AGUCCAGAAUCACAGACUGCAAAUCUGAUUUCGGGUAGGAUUACCCCUGGGCUU